GAUCAUUCUGCUGCAUCUCGAGAAUCAGCAAAACAGUCCAACUGGGGCAUUACAAAUGUAAUAAAAAAAAUCAAAAAGAAAAAAGGAAAAAAGAAAGAAAGAGGAGGGUGAAAAAUCAAAAUCAAAUCAAAAUCAAAAGAAAGAAAAAAAGAAAGAAAGAAACAAAAGGAAAAAAUAGCACCCUCAAAUCCCAAGUUGACUGAUGCUGAAUGGGUUCAGAGUCGUUAUGACCAACUGAAUUUGAUUGAAGAGAAGCGUUUGACUGCCAUGUGCUGUAACAC
rnacentral:lncRNA from 1 species